rnacentral:rRNA from 1 species
UAAGGAAUAUUGGGCAAUGGACGGAAGUCUGACCCAGCCAUGCCGCGUGGAGGAUGAAGGUCCUCUGGAUUGUAAACUUCUUUUCUCGAUAAAGAAAACAUUUGUUUCUACAAAUUUUGACGGUAAUUGAGGAAUAAGCACCGGCUAACUCCGUGCCAGCAGCCGCGGUAAUACGGAGGGUGCAAGCGUUAUCCGGAUUCACUGGGUUUAAAGGGAGCGUAGGUGGGUUGGUAAGUCAGUGGUGAAAUACCCGAGCUUAACUCGGGAACUGCCAUUGAUACUGCUGAUCUUGAAUAUCGUAGAGGUAAGCGGAAUAUGUCAUGUAGCGGUGAAAUGCUUAGAUAUGACAUAGAACACCAAUUGCGAAGGCAGCUUGCUAUGCGAAUAUUGACACUAAUGC